AUUGAACGCUGGCGGCAUGCCUUACACAUGCAAGUCGAACGGCAGCACGGGUGCUUGGCCCUGGUGGCGAGUGGCGAACGGGUGAGUAAUACAUCGGAACAUGUCCUGUAGUGGGGGAUAGCCCGGCGAAAGCCGGAUUAAUACCGCAUACGAACUACGUAUGAAAGCGGGGGACCUUCGGGCCUCGCGCUAUAGGGUUGGCCGGUGGCUGAUUAGCUAGUUGGUGGGGUAAAGGCCUACCAAGGCGACGAUCAGUAGCUGGUCUGAGAGGACGACCAGCCACACUGGGACUGAGACACGGCCCAGACUCCUACGGGAGGCAGCAGUGGGGAAUUUUGGACAAUGGGCGAAAGCCUGAUCCAGCAAUGCCGCGUGUGUGAAGAAGGCCUUCGGGUUGUAAAGCACUUUUGUCCGGAAAGAAAUCCUUGGCCCUAAUACGGUCGGGGGAUGACGGUACCGGAAGAAUAAGCACCGGCUAACUACGUG
rnacentral:rRNA from 1 species